GAUAACUUAUAAUUCAGUGCAGCUAAACUCCUGAAUUGGUGGAUAUAUCAAAGAUUGUGUUGCUUCUCGUGAAACCACAGAAACCGUUCAUUAACACUGGGCUGAAGAGACUGUGGAGUGAACAGUAUGUUAAGACAAUUUUAACAGAAGGAAAAUUCAGUUUUCCAUGAUGUGUCGCUUUUCAGCGUGUGACGUCUAGUGAAUUCUACGACUCCAACAUCACUGCAUGUGUUUUGGAGUGAACGUGCGUUGUUAAGGAGAAAGAACGUUCUGUGGAACUUCAGCAGAGCUGAGACUCUAAAAUCGCUCAGUCGUUUACCGACACCACCCGGCGAGCUGCUUUCUCUUGUGCUGCGACUUCCAGCGAACUAGCGGAUCAAUCCAGCUUCCCAGAUGGACUUUCCUCGGUCUUUCUUCGGCUUCCGGCUGCGGCCGGUGGUGCUUUGCGCCGCUGGCAUUUCAGCCGCAGCUGUAAUGUCGUCUUUUCUCUUGUACAGGUGGCGAGUCCCGGACCAGCAGCGGAGAGGCGAUGCUGCGACUCAGACGGACGAUGGCGACCACAGACUCCUCCACACAGCCGGUGCUACCGACGGAGUGGAUCAUCAUCAGGACGCCGGUUCAUCCGUCCCACAGAUCUGGCAGGAAGUGCCAUUUAUUCCUCCAACUCUGUGUGGACCAUUGGCGAGAAUUCAGGAGCUUCGCCAGGAAUUGGACCGGAAUGACAAGUUUUUUGCCUACACCUAUGAGAACUGGUGUUCCGAUGGAUUGAAGCUGGUGGAGGUGAAGCUCCAACACAAGUCCCUCUACAACGGGCUGGAGAGUGAGCACUGGUGGGUGCUCAACAACAACUUUUAUAACGUCUCCACACAGGAGCUUCCUCCCCAGUAUUUUGCGUGUGCCAGUGCUGUGGCCUGCAUCAAGCGCAUCGGAGCGUCCAUCAGUGAGGUGAAGGUGUACCUGCGCACUGAGUCAUCACACACAUCAGUGCAGAAUGUUACGCUGCAAACCAGAGUGAGCAGGGUGAACAAGUGUGUGUUCAUUGACUCGGAUGGCCAUUUCUGGUCUCAUGAGUCCAGUAACACACACAUCCUGGAGACACCGGCACCUUUUGUUUGUCCUGCCAGACCAAGAGGACCCCCUCCAGGCUUUUAAUCAGUUUUUUUAUUAUACAUUCUUAUUUCUUUUAUACCCAUUUUUCCCCAAAUUUCUGUACCUUAACAUUUUGUGUGUGUGUGUGUGUGUGCGUGCAUGCGUGCGUGCGUGCGUGUGUGUUGCAGAUGCAGUCGGUUUGCUGUCUGACCAUGUGAGCUCCUAUAUGGUUACCUUUGGAAGUGUGGAAGUGCAGCAUGAUGUUGACUUAUCACCAGAAGGAACCCAGUUCAACACACCUCCUGGAGACUCCAGACAGCAGUGGUACUGAAGCUUCACCGAGACCCUCUUGGACUAGAGGACUGCUUCAGUUUGUGGAUCGGAGGAUAUCCAUCUUCUCGGAAUAACAGUAAAGUUUUUCUCCAUGGAAACUUUGAGAUGAAGCACAGCAGGACUGUUAGAGACAUCAGGAGAUAUGAAGAGAACCAGAGGAGGAGGUCCAUGGACUCUAAGCAUCAUUGUUCAACAUCACUUUUGUCAUCAUCAUCAUCAUCAUCAUUACUGUUAUCAUCAUCGCCGUUGAAGAAGAAGAAGUCUGGACAAAGUCCCCCAUCCCUCCUGUAGUCAAAAUCAUCACUGUCAUUUAGGACACUGAUAUCAACGAAGAACUUGGUUCUCAUGAGGAGCAGCAUCAUCACUGAUACUGACUUCAUCACAGUCCUAAUUAUCAUCAUUAUUAUCUUUGAGCCGUGGACAGAGACAGUGGACGUCAUUUCAUCAGAAGACAAAUUCCCAGCCAGCUCAUCAGAGUUAAAGCUGUCAAUCUGCUUUGUGAGAAACGCAUGGACCUUUACUGAGAACCAGUCAGAAGGGCUUCCUAGCCUGAGUACUAGACUGUUGGUUGUAGUGUAGUUUAAGCUGUUUACCUACAACUAACUGUGGAGUAUUUAUGCUAGGACACUGCUAUAAUCAUCAUGGGAUUUUCACUUGAAACAGAAAUGAGCUGUAACUGACACUGGACAAUCAGAAAAGGUUAUUUUAAUAAUCUCAGCAAGAUUCUGACAAUUUUCUCUACAUUUUUCUCUCUUUAAUGUUCUGGAAAAAAUUAGCACAACAUUUUU